rnacentral:lncRNA from 1 species
CUGCCCCAGUGGAUUAGGAUUAGUGCUGCAGUCAAAUGAAAAAGAUCAAGACAAAAAAUUAGGCUAAUAUAACUAGCCGACAGGCUAGCGGCAUUUCUCUGGGGCCGAGGAAUUCCACGAAGAAGAUCUCUGCGAGGCCCAGAAGGCCGCACAACUACUUCUUCAGAAACAAAAUUUUUUAAAAAAGUAAAAAUAGAGGAAGUCAGCCAGUUUAUCACCUUGGAACCAGCGUUUUGUUUGGCUUUUCCGCUUUUCACUCUACGAAAAAGCCCAUUGGCGGCUACCCAGGUUACCGUCCUGUUGCCAUUGCGCCUGCGCGGCGGUUUGUUUACCAGUCCAGGCGAAGCGCUGUGUCGCGGUUCUCGCCGCCCCGAGCGCCUUGGUUUGCUCCCUUGACGUGUAAUUCGUAAUGAAAGUCAUGUUUUCAUUUGGGAACACGGAUCGGAGGUUUAAAACUGGACAGUUUAAGUGUCAACUUCAGACCAAAGAAAAUAAUGGUAGGGAAAACACUGGACACUCAGAAAUCGGUGCCGCGUCAGAGCUGUCACGGAAGAUGUUUCUAAUGAACCUGAGGAAAACAAUAGCACCACCCUAACCAGAACUAAAAAGUGGCAAGCAGCCACAGUUAAUGAAACUCAUAGGUGGCAUUUAGUUACUUAUUUAGAAUGUAGGCCUAGUUAUGGUAAAAAUGCAAAUAAGACCAAACCUAAGGUCCUCUUGCUCGAGCAAACCUCAAGCAAAACCUACAUGAUUUAAGACUGACUCUUGAAGCGAAGUAAAAAAAAAAAAAAAAAAAAAAAAGCAGCCAUGCAAAAUUUGAAACUUGGAGACGACUCUAGAAGCAUUAACCCAAGAAAGCACAAGCCAACAAACAAAUUUUUGAAAUGGUUUGAAGAGCUCUUCAAAGUCAGUUUCAGGUGGCUUAGAAGAGGAUGUUGCUUAUAAAAUGAGAUCUGAUGGAAACUUGUUUUACAGAUAUGACUGGAUUCGUUUGAAAACAAAAAAAAAGGCAGGCAAAGUGACUUUUUAAAAAGUAUUUUUAUGGAAGGAUUUCUAAUGAUACAUUUUAAUGUGCUCAAAAAACAACCUUAAAUAACUGGUAGAUUCAGCCAAACCUGGAUCAUUGUUAUCUUAGAGCUGGAUAAGAGCAUAAAUGUUAACAAUUUGGCAAUUUUAUUGGACUCUGUUAUGUUUUUGAAUGGUGAAUUUGAAGACUUCAACUUGUAACAAGAAAUUUUCUAAAAGGAAAGUGGGAUUUUCAAGACAUAUGAAAUUAAGCAGAGAAUAUGUAUGGACAUGUGAACAGAUGGAACCAAAUUUUGAAAGCUUUGCAUGUGUCCAGCAUCGGUCACAGAAAAUCCUUUUAUCUCAAGAAACUAGCCUCUGGAUUUUCUCACGUUCAAUAUGAUAAAACUCAGUAAAUCCAGCAGCUUGAAUACCUUUUAACACAAAUUUGUACCAAAAUGAGAAGUAACUUUAAAAUUCCGCUCCAUUAUCUAGAGGUACUCUGACUUGGUUAAGGUAAGGUGAAAAUCGGUUUUCCAAGCCAGUAUUGAACUGGCAUUUUCAUCAUGAAGAAAAAAAAAAUGCAGAUAAAGUGAAUGGGUAUCUUGUUCACUUUAAUGAUUAAGACUAACUCAGAAAGCUGGCUUACUUUGUCAAGGCAAACAACCAGUAUUAAACAAACUGAAUACUCUCAUUGCACAUAAUGAGAAGGCUUGAAUGAAAAUUAAGUAUGGGAGUGGAAGAGCUGAUAAAGAACAGUGACUUCUUUGAGACUCCUAGUUCAUUUACAUGUGAUGAAAAUUAUAGUGUAAGAAUAGUAAGUUGUCAAAUAAAACAUUUUUCUUCACUGAAAAAAAAUCUUUGGUGAGUAACAGAAACUGACUGAUGGAUUGGUAAUUUAGUCUGCCCCGUGACUCAGAAAAUAUACUUACCAAAAUUUCCACUGUCAGUAGCUG